rnacentral:rRNA from 1 species
UACGUAGGCAGCAAGCGUUGUUCGGAGUUACUGGGCGUAAAGGGUGCGUAGGCGGCCCUGUAAGUAUGGGUGUGAAAUCUCCCGGCUUAACUGGGAGGGUGCGCUAUAGACUGGCGGGGCUCGAGUGUGGGAGAGGAAAGUGGAAUUCCUGGUGUAGCGGUGAAAUGCGUAGAUAUCAGGAGGAACACCGGUGGUGGUAAACGGCUUUCUUGGACCAUAAACUGACGCUGGAGGCACGAAAGCGUUGGGUAGCAAACAGG